AUCCUUCAGAAUGAGUCAAUGAUGACACUCCGUGUUCAUCAGGUGCUUUGCAGCUGAUAAGAUGCAUUUGCUUAGACAGCCUUGGUUAGUCUACACAGCGGUUCGAACUCCUUGGACUUUCUGAGACCAGAGAACUGCCACUUCAUACCUGACACUGCUUAUUGCCAGUUCGCCUCUGCCAGACCUGGGGGGUGUGCCAGAGUGCCUGAGCCCCACUGAGCCUAUCAGUGCCUGCAGGGGGCCCCCCCCCCCCCCCGCCUCCCCGCCAUCAGAGGCUGCCCUGGGCGGACGCUGCCAGAUGCACAUUAUUUACACGUCACACUAAGUUCUCCCCACAGUGUGUGAGGUGGUGCCGUAUUGGAGGGGGGACCGAGACCUGAGGUCACACAGGACAUGGGGUAGGACAGCUCUGGAUCUCUUCUGGCAACCAGAGUUUACGCCUGAGGGCAGGGGCCUCCGAGGGCUUGGGUAUCUACUCAAGUUGCCUGAGAAUCUUCUUGAAAUGGCUUUAGUGUUGCAUAAUCAAUGUUAUGAAGGGGAAUGUUAUUUGUUAUUUCUCCACCCUCUACCUCCUGGACAGAAGAAAGGACCAGGGCCAAGGACAAACUCCGGGCGAAUUUAAACCCGGUCUUUUCUUACCUCGUUUCUGCCUCAAGCAGUCUAGAUUGGAUUCUUUAUAGGUAGGCCCGUUUCGAGUAUUGGUCUUUACUUUUUUUUUUUUUUUUUUAAAAUCUAUAUUUAGCUUUCCAAAUUUUCUUGGCAGGCUAAACUGCUCGCUUAUUUGAACCUUCAGUUUGCAUUUUCCCAAGAGCAGGAGAUAUUUUUAGAUGUCUGGGGCUGGCCCUCAAAGUGGAAGAAUAUUUUAUCAUAGUAAGAUAUUGUGAUCGAGUGGCUUUCAAGCACGACUUUGUUCAGAGUCUGUUUCUUACGAACGGACACAGAUUACUCGUCUAUGCAUUCUGCAAAGGCUGAACCGAAAUCUGAAGAGAGCUUUUACCGUAGGAUGGAGUUUAACAACAAGUUUGGUUGCUUAUUCCUCCUUCGAGCAUGGAGAAGAGCUCCUUCGCGUGCAGACAGCUGGUGAAAGAACUAGAAUACAGAAACCGAGUAGCCUCACCCGGAUUGGCGCCUGGGAGAAAAGCUGAGAUUCCAGGCCUGCGGAGGCGGAGAAGUUGGGCUCCGAGCAUCUCAUCACACCACAGAGUGAGAAAACUUUCAAAGGCACCUGGGGUUAGGUCAGGAGGAUUCAGAAGGGUCUUGUUGACAGUUUGAUAGGACAAUCUGAGCUUCAGAUAAGGAUAACGGCUGUGGGUUGAAAUACAGCAACUAAAUUGAAGUCCGUGAGUUGAAAAAAUACUUUCAGAAAAGCCCCCUUUUGGGGUCGUUUUGGGGGGGAGGAUGCUUAUUAUUUCGGAAGGCAGCUGUGCCCAUCGUUAUACCCACCCACCCCCCCGAUGUUUAUUAUUGUGAUUGCUGCUUAAAAAAGGAAAAGAAGGAACAAAAAGUAUGGUGUAGAGGUAAGGAGAUUCUAAAAUACGUGGAUGCCUGGGGCUUCCCCUCUGAGUCCUGUUACUCCUGGGGUCUUUGAAAGUCCAUCUGGGGACUCUGAGAAAUCCCCAGGGUCUAGGUCCUGCCCCAGAGAUUCUGACUGAGCCCAUUGUGAAAAGUUCCCCAGGCGGUGCAGUUAGGACCUGAGAACCCUGGGAGCCUCUCUCUUUGUUUCCCGGCUGACCCACCCUGUUUAUGGACGCAGCAUCCUUCCUCCUGGGUUCCAAUUCAAGCUCUGCCUGCUCGGCAGGUUAUUUGACUCAUCUGUACUUUCAUGCCCUUGUCCAUCAAACAGAGGAGGUGGAGAUCGCCUUUCUCAUCGGAUUCUUGUGAGAACUAGCUAAGUCUCCCGAGCACACGGUGAGCGUGCGGUAACCACUGUUGGCCAUGUUAGCCAUAACCAUUUGGAAUGGCACAGAAGACCGGAGGCAAUGUUCCCCGACAAGGAGCCAGAGGAGGGAAUGUUCAGGGCCAGUCUUGCUGAGGGAGGGGAAGUUCACUUCUGGGGGAGCCGGGAGAACCACCAGCUGGGUGAGUGAGAGAACAUUUAGGGGACACACAUCCUUCUGAGGAGUCGAUGGAAGUUUCGGUCAUCUAGAAAAAUGUUACCUAUGUACACACACGACUUUUGUCUACAAAUCUGGGGACUCGCAGACCCUCAAAGCCCACCUGCGGCUCCCAGGUUGAAAUCCGUUGUCAUCUCCAGGCUAAGUAACAGUGCCAUCAACUGCUGUAUUAUUUUGACAGUAUCAACCGAAACAUUAAAUACACAUAUUGUUUGAUCCAAUCAUUUCACUUUUUCAAGUCUGUCCUCCUAUAAAUAAUGCACAGGAACAAAAUGGUGAAAGUACAAAGUUGUUUAUUGGGGCCUUGCUGGUUAUGGAAAAGAUAAGAUACAUCUUAAAUGUGCAUCCAGAGAGGACCAAUCAAAGCGAUUAUGUUUGCACAGUGGAACACUCAGCAGCUUUCAAAAAGAAUGAAAAAAUCUUUGUAUGCCAAAGGGAACAAGUUCUAAGUACCGUAAAAGGCACAGACCAGCGCGCCCAGUGUGCUAUGAUUUUUGUAGAAAAAGAAGAAAAUGUAUGUGUGCGUGUAUGUGCAUUUGUUUGCAGAUGCACAGAAUGUUUCUGGAACGAGACCCAAUAAACCAACCAGUGCCCCAGGCUCCCAGGAGAACUACUUGACAGGGUGUUGAAUGUUUAAACUAAUUAAAAAAAAAAUUUAUAUUUACAAAGCAAGAAAGAAAACCCUGUGCCAGAUGAUGGAGGCUGGCUUCAAAGGUCAAGACUUUUGAAUGGGAGAGACAGGAGAAUCACCUGUUCUUUGGGGAGGAUGAAUCCGUCCACCCAAAUAGAGCAGGUGGGACCUGAGGCCCCUGAUGGGCAGAGCAGGUGAACUUCAUGCAUGGAGAGGUUCUGAAGACAGACACCGCCCUGGAGAUGACCCCAUGUGAAAGGCAAAGGAGGAGUCGGAAGGAUGUACGGUCUCAGAUUGCACGGGGCCGGGACUCCGGGAUGAGGCGGGAGGUGUGGGCUCGGGCGGGGCAGGUCAGGGGGUGAGAGCCAGGGAGGAGCACUGGGGCGAUACCCUGCUGGCAGGUUUUUCUGCAUAGCUGGGCAGUAGCUCAGCAUUGUGGGUCUCACCACCAGCACCGCAUUCCUUUGCUUACCACUUAAUUUUCAUGAAGCACUGCCUCUCUUUCCCUUCCCUGGGACUUGGGGGAACGCAGGCUCCACCACAAAGCCUCAGAAACUUCAGGCCGGGAGGACAAGGCCCACAUGAAGACAGUGAGGCCCAGGAGGAUGAGAGCUGAGACAAGAAGGCACAGGGCAGCGUCUUGCUCGGCCUCAGCUGGGAACAUGCACCUCAGACAACCCAAACGUUUUGCUGCUCUGCACGGGCCCGCCAAUAACCACGAGAGUGCUGUGAGUAUUGUUUAGUGACUGCGAAUAAAUUGUCGCGACUACAUACGUUUGCAAAGAGAGAAUCCAGUAAUGACAACUGACUGCACUUUUCAAUGCCACAAUUACACUCCAUCAGGCUGAAAAAUGUCACUUACUCAAUGAGGCCCCUGUGCCUGCACAUUGGAUGUCUCCGGCUUUUCCCGUUACAGACAAUGACACAGGAAAUAGCGUUACAGAGAUGGUUGCCUUCGUUUAACUUGUAUCCUUGAAUUUCCCAACUGGGCUUACUGGUAGGAGGCGUGGGCAGGGAGGGGUGACUUUCCACCAUUCACUAGGCUCGUCGCAGGCCCAGGCUGGGACAUUUGUGUGACCGAGUCUGGCCCUUCCAGGGGGAAGACAUCAGGGGACCCCCGGGAAAGGGUUCUUCCUGCCUAAGGAGACCAAGAUGAGACUGUCUCCGUUCUUGCUCUGGUCAUUGCUGUGUCUGGUAUCAGGCCUGGAGCUAUGAAACGAAGAGGACAGAGGUGGAGGGAAACGGCUUGGGCCCUGGCGAUGCAGCUAUGCUGCGAAAGAAUCAGCCCAGAGGUACAGCUGGCCGAGACUUCCCAGAACGUGACAUGGUCCGUUCCCUUCUGCUCAAGCCAGUCUGAGCUGGCGACGGCCCUUGGCACGGCACUGCCGAGGACCAGCUGGGAUGCCUGGGACCCCACCCCCCUCUUAGAACGCCCUGCUGGCUCCCCGUGACCCGCAGACCAAACUCGGGCCAUGGCCCUGCAAGCCCAGCCUGCCUGACUCCCCCCGCUCUGCGUCAGUCUCGCUGAGCCUCCGUCAGUGCCCCCAGCCCUGGGGCUUCCAAACGUGGGCUGAGAUUCAUGGUGAAAUUAGUUUGUUAGUUCGUCACCAACAACAUUAAAAAACUAAGUAGGCUGGACUAGCAAGUAGGAGUACGUUACCCAUGGGAAAGGGAAACAGUGUCCUGAAUCUGUUUCAUUGCACACACACACACACCACACAUGCACACCUGCACACACGUGUACCGGGUUGCCACGAAAGCAUCUCUCUUCUGUGGGCCCCAGUCGGUGUGGGGGAAACCUUUGCUCUGGAAUGCCUUCCUUCCUCUAGCCAAGGGCCUCUGCCUGUGCUGGUGUGCACCCCCUUCCACAGUCCUUUCCUCCACAGCACUGUCUGGGGCAGACACUCUUGACAUUGGGUCCACAGCACGGCUGCCAUAGCAGGAGCCCAUCGGGGACCUGAGGGCCACACUGGGGCCCAUAUGGGCCGCGUGAGCCUGGGAGAGGAAGGGAGUGGGAACGAAACUUGACAGGAGCCCUGGGUGGGACAGGUGGGAGGGGUCCUGGAGUGUCCCACAUCUGCAGUGACUAGAACUCAGUGUGGACGAGCCAGGGCAGACACAGCUGGGUGACGCUGGCCUCCUCUGGGCUGCCUCGGGGAGCCGGGCGCUCCUGGGUGGUCCUCACCCAGCUCGGAGACCCCCGUGCCCACGUGGGUGCUGCCUACAGCCCAUGGGGCAGCCCCCGUGCCUGAGUCAGUGGCUGCCAGCCUGUGAAGUUUCUGAGCAAGAAUCAUUACCUCCUCCGCGCGGCGGGGGGGAGGAAACCGGUUCUGGGAGGCCAAGCGACUUUCCCAAAGUUACUCAUGGGAGCGCGCCAGGCCUGGACUGGAAUCCAGGACCCGCACACAGCUAGCUUUGUAUGGAAGUUCUACGCUCCAUAAUUUAACCUAGGACACUUCCAAACACUGAGUCACUACAUCCUGAUUCACAGAGGGCGAGUUUUCUCUGUGGCUUUAAGGUUAGCAGGAAAUUGUGGCCCAGGGCCCUUGGCCUCCGGUGAGGGCCCAUGUCUUAUCCGGUCCACUCCAGGAACAAUAGUGCCGGCCAGAGCCCCAGCUACCACCGCUCCUGGCAGAACAAAUCAUAUAAGGAGGCCUUGGUACCCAUAAGGCAAAGGAGGGGCUGGCCGCUGGCUGGGGAAAGUCUGUGCCUACCUUGGGGUGUGUGCCUGGGAGGGGCAGGAUGCCGCCGCAGGGGGAGGGGCUGGUGAGUCAGCGGGGGGCCUCCUCCGCCUUCCUCCCCUCCCUCCUGGCUUCCUCCCCCAGGGCCACUGCACCCCCCACUGACCCAGCUUUUUAUUGACCGAGCAGUACAGAUUUUCAUAAAGUAGGGUAAUAAAACCAUUCUUACCCAUCCAAAGUCUAAAUAGCUUUUCCUUCUUGUCUCUUUAAAAAAAAAAAAAAAAAAAAAAAAAAACAA